rnacentral:rRNA from 1 species
GAUGAACGCUGGCGGCGUGCCUAAUACAUGCAAGUCGAGCGAACAGACGAGGAGCUUGCUCCUCUGACGUUAGCGGCGGACGGGUGAGUAACACGUGGAUAACCUACCUAUAAGACUGGGAUAACUUCGGGAAACCGGAGCUAAUACCGGAUAAUAUAUUGAACCGCAUGGUUCAAUAGUGAAAGACGGUUUUGCUGUCACUUAUAGAUGGAUCCGCGCCGCAUUAGCUAGUUGGUAAGGUAACGGCUUACCAAGGCAACGAUGCGUAGCCGACCUGAGAGUGGGCGCGGCCACAUGGGCACUGAGACGGGGUCCGGCCUCCAGGGGGAGGCAGCGGGGGGAAAUUUUCGGAAGGGGGCGAAGGUUGGCGGGGGCAGCCCCGGGGGGGUAAGAAGGGUUUUGGGAUCAAAAAACUGUGUUAUGGGGAAAAAAAAAAUUUGAAAUAAACUAGGCCCGUUUUGAGGGUCCCUAACAAGAAGCCCCCGGCAAACUCCGUG